CUGCUUUCUGUCUCAGCGCAUCUGCCUACUCUGAGUCCCUCAUAUAAGUGGAAUCGUGCGGCAUUUGUCUUUCUGCGUCAGACUCAUUUCACUCACCAUGUGUUCAAGGUCCAUCGAUGUUGUAGCACAUAUCAAAAUUCUGUUCCUUUUGGCAGCUGUAUAAUAUUCCUUUGUGUUCUGUGUAUACCACUGGCUGGUUUUGGAAAGGGCCCAGGCAGCCCUGUUUGGCUGCACUGGUCACACUCAGACUGGUCACUGCUGGGACCUGGGUGCCACCACCGUCGUUGGUCACAGGCCAGGCCUCUCUUCUGCCUUUACCCUGAGGAUGUGGCAGACUUCUUCUCCUGCUUCCUUUUUGAUUCUGGUUCACCAGCCACAGGGUGCUCUGAGGGGACCGUAGGGAGAACAUGGAAGAAACCAAGAGCAAGUUAUUUCCUGGAGAGUGGAAAAGUGACCGCUCGGUUAAUCUGAGGGUCUGGCCAGUGCCCCUGCAGGGUGAGAACUGCCGGCCUCGCUGGCUGGUGAGUGCUGGGUCGGUCAGUGAGAUUCCGUGCCGCUCCACUGAGCUGCUCUAGGACCCCUCUCGGCUCACUCUAGACUGGGAUGCGUCGCCUUGGGUGAAAAUCCGGUUUGAGUCGUGGCAGCCAUGUUGCCAUUAUCUGAUUAUGAAGUCACUGACCAUUUGACCUCAGAAGGACCCACAGCUCCUUCUCUUUACAGGUCGUUACUAGAUGCUGAGGAUGUCACAGUAAAUAUGACAAAGGUGGACCUCCCCGUGGACAGGAGAGUCGGGGGCAGCAAAGACUGUCAGCCAGGAUGAGGUUCAUCUCCAGUGCCGGCAACCCGACCACAGACGCUCGGACACACUCGGGUUUGUUACCCCACGUGAAAGUCCAGAGACUGAAGGGCCCGUCCCCUCCACUGUGCUACCUGGCCCACCCACUGCAGCUCAGGCCAUGGGGAAGAGCGAUGGAGCCCGCAGAUGUUACGUCAAGUCAUCCUCCCGGCAACCGUGCGAGGGCCUCCAGGUUGGUUACAGGCGAGAAGUCUGAGGCCCCCAGGGGUGAGGGACCCCAAAGGGCCAUGCACAGCUUGAGGCAGAGCUGGGACCACCACACCUCUGCUCCCAGAAACAGCAUCUGGAAUUCUUUCCACAGCUCUGUGUUGCCGCCUUCAAAACUAGCCUGCCGGGGCACGGCCGCCCAUUAUUUGUGCCGUUUAAAAUUUUACACUGGGUGGGAGUGAGACAAAUGGGAAGGAAAGCAGCUGGGCUGUUUAUUGGAAGAGCGAGCGUGCCAGCCACAGGCGAUGGCCGAGAGCGAUGCUCGCCCCUCUGAACCAAAACAGCGGCAGCGCACACUCCUCUGGCGAGAAGAGCAGAGUGGGGGGCACGAUUACCCCUGUGGGCCUCUGACAGAGGGCUUUGCCCUGAUUUCUUUGUUUUUUCGUUUUCGCGCAGGGGGGUGGGGGUUGUGUUUUGAGCAUAGGGAAUGGCUGGCGACAGCAGGAGCCACAACGCCAGACUGGAUUCCAGGAUCCCAUCGUCUAGGGUUCCUCCUCGAGUCCAGCAGGAGUCCUGUUUUCUGCAGUUGAAGAGAAUGGCCUGAGUUUUCCCUUGAAUACAAGGACAGCUAUUUAUUGACAUAUAAGCUUUCAUGGAUUUAGAACCCUCAAGUCGUUCUUCCUUAAGGAUAUAAAAAGUUUGAAAAUAUUUCCUCACAGAGCCCAUCUUCCAACUGAGUUCUGGGUUUCUUUAGCUCUUCCUCUCUUUUCUUCAGUGUAAAAUACUGUUUAUUGUGUUUGGGAUGGGAAACGAGAACUCCCUGAAAACCCCUUUGGGUGGGGUGUUUGAACAGAAGCUGGUAUGUGUGCGCAAUGAGAUGUCGUAUCUCUCAGGGAAAGAAUUUAGAUGGGUUUCUGUUGACCGGGGUGGUUGACCUACCAUAUACUCCGAAGUGGAAAACCUAGUUGUAAACAAGAUUAUAUGGUAUUACCCAGCUUUUAAAAACAACGCCAAACUCAAACUUACACAUGUUUGCGAGUUAGUGUGAACGUAGAGGAAGAUGUGACAGCACAGGGUCCAGUGCCACCUUCGUCCCCUAGCAGGCCCGGGGGGUGGGGGUGCGGGUGGAGGAGUUAGGGGGAGUAUUCCUUUUCUAUAUGUUAUUUGAUUUGUUACAGUAAUAAAAUGUCAGCUUUAAAUUAAUGAAUCUAACGGAGUGCUUUAAGCUUCAAGGGCAAGGGUCCUUCUAACCCCCCGGUUUCGGGGGGCACAUCUUCAGCUGAUAAGCACGGUCAAGCCUGAAUCCCUUUAGCAUGGAGGCUGCUGCUGCUCUGGACGUUCUCUGCCCGAGCCCUGCAUCAGUUAUUUCUCCAAGGAAUGUGGGCUCCUUUCCAUGGAGAAUAACGUUCAAAAGCCAAACUCCAGAUGAUGGGUGCGCUCAUUGCUUUUGGGGUGUUGAGUGAUCCCAGGUUCUUUCAGUGGGCAGGACUAGAGAAGGUAUGCCAGUCUGUCUGUCUAUCUAUCUAUCUCUCUAUCUCUCUAUCUAUCUAUCUGUGAUCUUUCUAUCUAUCUUUCUAUCUAUCCAUCCAUCUAUCCAUCAUCUGUCUGUCUAUCUAUCUAUCUACCUACCUAUCUAUCUAUCAUCUAUCUCCGAACCCCAAGUUCACAUGGAUACUUUUAAUUCCAAUUCCCACUCCAUUGGGCUCACUCUAGGGUUCCUCUCACCAAAUGUUUAAGUCACUUCUUUGACAACGGGAAACCUGCCUCCCAUUGUCCUUAUAUGUUUACUUAUUAGCUCAGUGUCGGAUGUGUACCCAGUCUCCCCUCACUGACAUUGCCUUCUCCCCUAGGCAGAUUCCCUCCUCCCCUACCCUGUGCUGGGCCUGGUGUCCUCACCUGGCAGAUCUUCUGACCCUGCAGGACACCCGCCCAGGCUGUACCCACAUGGAUGCUCUCCUCACCUCGGGCUUCAAGCCACUGAGCUGGGCUGCCCCCCACCCCUCCCUCCAUGUGGAUGGCUUCCUGACCUCACAAGGGCUCUGAGACCACAUUCCACCCCAUCACAUGGACAACCCCUUAUUCUGCUCUGGUUCCAACAGCUGUAUCAGGCCACUGCCUCACCAGGAUGCCUUCCUCACCCCUCUUAGGCUCUGAUACCCAUGCCAGAUGCCCCCCCCCAAAACUUCAAGGACACCGUUUUCUCCCUGAUUGAACUCUGACAUUCUUUUCGGGGCCAGCAGCACCUCCCCGACCCUGUCAUGGACACCUGUGGGCUUUGAACUGACUUGGUCAGGAAGGGAGAGGAAAAGGAAGAGGAG
rnacentral:lncRNA from 1 species